AUGUACAUUGCUUCGGUUGCAACCGGCACAGGAGUGCACAAGAUGACAAGAGUACAGGAUCCAAGUGGCUUUGGAUGCGGGAGUACACGUACGCCCAGACCCCACGCGCUUUCGGGUUUGCGUUCAAGACGUACGGCGCCUGGCGAAGACCUCGACGACCGCGCUAAGCAAACCGCAAAAGCAAAAGCUCAGAGGAGAAAGGCGACGGCGACGGCGACUCCGACGCCAUACAGCAGCAGUUCGCAGUUCCUUGCAGGAAACAAAAUUUGGUGCAAUCUCCGAUUUUUUUCAGACAACGACGACUUCGCAUGUGCUACGUUGCUGUAUCUGCUUUUCGUCUAA
rnacentral:rRNA from 1 species